ensembl:lncRNA
CAGCAAAUGGAGCACCCUUUAUUUUCUGUAAGAAUCCAGGUCUCCUGAGACAAGGGUGUUUGAAGCUGAGCCAGAAAGCUGAAACUGAGAAGAGUGGGCAAAAGAAAGUGACAGAAAAGGACAGAGAGGGCAUUGGUCAGAUUUACAUUUUCUGCAUGUGAGACUGGGAGUGAGAACAAGAUAUUGGCUGAAAAGCAGAAGUGAAACGACUCAUUGCUGUGUUGAGAAGAUGCUCCCAGGCUGUUGUCCACACAGCAAGUCUGUGUCUGGGCCCAUCUGGGAUCAGAGAAGCCACCUGGAGCAGCAAUGGGGAAACUUGGAGGGAGAAGCUGCAGUCUGAGUUCAGUGAUGAUCAUGUGUGGGCAGUUUCUAUGGAAAAGAAACUCCACAGGAAUUUAGCAGCAUUCAGAACACAAUCAGAACUACAGGAUUUCUGCGGGAGAUCAAAAUCUUCGUAUGUAAUCAGGGUGGGAAAAUUUUGGUGUCUCAUCAAACAACACAGACUUCCCACUGGAGAGAAGACAUAUGAAUGUAAGGAAUGUGGGAGAACAUUUACGGAAGUUCAGAUCCUAGAGGCACAGGAAUAUUGGAGGUGGAGAGAAAUGCUGUGACGGUAAUAAGUACAUGUGGGAAAACCUCCUACCAGAGUCCAAACCUUCAACAAUAUUCUGUAAUUCACACAAGAGAGGAAAACAGUCAAUGCAAAGGAACUUCUAGGAAAAACCAAAACUCAUUCGGAGUAUGAUACUUCAUUUCGGAGAGACACCUUUGAAUGUUUUGAACCUGGAAAAUCUUUUAUUUCAUCCUCACACCUUCUUCAGCAUCAAUCAGGGUAUUUACAAUAGAGGAAAACCAGAUGACUAUAAAGGAAAUGGAAGAGUCUUCAGGUGGCCCCAGAGCCACUUAAGCACCAGAGAAUUGGGUGGAGAGAAGCCUUGUGUAAUGUCUGUCAGAGGCUUUCCAGCUGGUGCGCAAACCUGGGACAAUAUAGGAUCAUCAUGCAGGAACAAACCAGACAAGUGUAGCCUAUGUGGCAAAGCAUUCUGGGAAAGUGGGAAAUUUCUUCAGCGUCAAAUAAUUCAUACUAGGGGGCAAGGGGAAACAGCCUAUUUGUGCAAAGGCUGCAGGAAACUGGGGGAAGUUCAGCCCACCUUUUCCCAUCAGCAAGGAGAUGCUACUGAAGAAGAAAACUUACAAGUGCAAAAAAUAUGGGACCGUCUCCAGUUGACUCAGCCUGAUUCAGCAUUGAGAAUUCGUACUGGGAAAGAAAGCUUAGGUGUGAAGAAGGUGGCAGAGCUUCCCAUUCAAGUUCCCCUCUUAUUUAUUAGACCCUGAGGAUUCAUGGUGAAGAAAUGACGCUGGACAGCAAUAAAGAAGGGUAAAUUUGCGUAUUUGUAGGAAAAACAGAUGUACCUUGAGACCAUAAUGCUAAGUGAAAUAAAUCAGAC